rnacentral:rRNA from 1 species
ACGUACACUCCUGCGGGAGGCGGCAGUGGGGAAUAUUGGACAAUGGGCGCAAGCCUGAUCCAGCCAUGCCGCGUGAGUGAUGAAGGCCCUAGGGUUGUAAAGCUCUUUCACCGGUGAAGAUAAUGACGGUAACCGGAGAAGAAGCCCCGGCUAACUUCGUGCCAGCAGCCGCGGUAAUACGAAGGGGGCUAGCGUUGUUCGGAUUUACUGGGCGUAAAGCGCACGUAGGCGGAUUAUUAAGUCAGGGGUGAAAUCCCGGGGCUCAACCCCGGAACUGCCUUUGAUACUGGUAGUCUUGAGUUCGAGAGAGGUGAGUGGAAUUCCGAGUGUAGAGGUGAAAUUCGUAGAUAUUCGGAGGAACACCAGUGGCGAAGGCGGCUCACUGGCUCGAUACUGACGCUGAGGUGCGAAAGCGUGGGGAGCAAACAGGAUUAGAAACCCGGGUAGUCCCAUGAU